rnacentral:rRNA from 1 species
CCUACGGGAGGCAGCAGUGGGGAAUAUUGGGCAAUGGGGGGAACCCUGAUCCAGCCAUGCCGCGUGUGUGAAGAAGGCCCUCGGGUUGUAAAGCACUUUCAGUGAGGAAGAACGCCUGGUGGUUAAUACCCAUCAGGAAAGACAUCACUCACAGAAGAAGCACCGGCUAACUCCGUGCCAGCAGCCGCGGUAAUACGGAGGGUGCGAGCGUUAAUCGGAAUUACUGGGCGUAAAGCGCGCGUAGGUGGCUUGAUAAGCCGGUUGUGAAAGCCCCGGGCUCAACCUGGGAACGGCAUCCGGAACUGUCAAGCUAGAGUGCAGGAGAGGAAGGUAGAAUUCCCGGUGUAGCGGUGAAAUGCGUAGAGAUCGGGAGGAAUACCAGUGGCGAAGGCGGCCUUCUGGACUGACACUGACACUGAGGUGCGAAAGCGUGGGUAGCAAACAGGAUUAGAUACCCCUGUAGUC